rnacentral:rRNA from 4 species
GUGGGUAGUUUGACUGGGGCGGUCUCCUCCUAAAGAGUAACGGAGGAGCACGAAGGUUGGCUAAUCCUGGUCGGACAUCAGGAGGUUAGUGCAAUGGCAUAAGCCAGCUUGACUGCGAGCGUGACGGCGCGAGCAGGUGCGAAAGCAGGUCAUAGUGAUCCGGUGGUUCUGAAUGGAAGGGCCAUCGCUCAACGGAUAAAAGGUACUCCGGGGAUAACAGGCUGAUACCGCCCAAGAGUUCAUAUCGACGGCGGUGUUUGGCACCUCGAUGUCGGCUCAUCACAUCCUGGGGCUGAAGUAGGUCCCAAGGGUAUGGCUGUUCGCCAUUUAAAGUGGUACGCGAGCUGGGUUUAGAACGUCGUGAGACAGUUCGGUCCCUAUCUGCCGUGGGCGCUGGAGAACUGAGGGGGGCUGCUCCUAGUACGAGAGGACCGGAGUGGACGCAUCACUGGUGUUCGGGUUGUCAUGCCAAUGGCACUGCCCGGUAGCUAAAUGCGGAAGAGAUAAGUGCUGAAAGCAUCUAAGCACGAAACUUGCCCCGAGAUGAGUUCUCCCUGAGACUUAGAGUCUCCUGAAGGAACGUUGAAGACGACGACGUUGAUAGGCCGGGUGUGUAAGCGCAGCGAUGCGUUGAGCUAACCGGUACUAAUGAACCGUGAGGCUUAACCUUACAACGCCGAA